UGAUGUCCCACUGUCUCUCACUGCCAGCAACACUGUUGUGAAGACCUACUGUCUACAACCUGAAACGCAGCCGGAAACUCCUCCCUCCAAGAAGCCUUCCUCACUAACUUCUGCCUCCUCUGGUCUCUCACAGCCAGCAAACAUAGACCUGUAUGGUGGCGCAUGCCACACAAACAGAUGUCACUUGUCAUGCCUGAUAUGACCUGUACAGCAUCGUGUUUGCUCCCUAAUUGUCAUCCUUCCUCUCCGUGAAGACAUGACCCUCCUUCUCCUUUUGUGGUUUUGAGGCUACAUUCAAUUGUAGCUCCUGCUUCUUAGCAUAAGGAUGGGCAUGUGACUUGAGUAGAGCCAAUCAGAGUUCUCCCCUGGGAUUGCCAAGCAGUGAGUACUGGGUGAGAUGAGGCCUUUCCUUCCUCUGGGGUGCAGAAUGAUGUAAUCCUGGCACUUGGCAUAGCUGUAGCAUCUAUCUGCUGGGCACAGAUGAGCUUGGGCAAGCCUCUCUGUGCCCCAGUUUUCGCUGUUGUACCACGUGUGAUGCUAACAGCACUACCAGGAUCCUCAUGAGACUUCCUGUUAAUGCAUAAGCUGAGGACUACCCACUUUGCCUAAAGUUUAAGAUGUGUGUAUGUGUGCGUUGUAUAAGAAACAUGGUUAAAUGCUUCAAAAAGCAAUGCAGUAAACUAUACAGUUAAGAAUCCUGGUGUUAUCAUGACUCCUUUGAACCCAGGUCUCAUCACUUAGAUGCGCUACUUCUUUUGUUUACUUGUUCAGCUCUUUGUUGAGAUGCUGUCUAACUAUAGAGCCUUUGCUGUCCUGACUCAUUUUGUAGACCAAGCUCCCUCUAAUCAGAGGAGUCCCUCUACUUCUGCCAUGUGAAUUCUGGGAUUACAGCAUAUCCUGGGUGCUGUCCAUAAAGUUCUCUGUGGCUGGCCCUUUCUUUCCUAUUCCAUGUAUGGAUGAACUCCACAGCUCCAAUGCAAUGGCAGCUUUGGCCAAAGCAGUUCCUGCUGAGGACCUGGAGGCUGUGAAGCCCAAGGUCAAAGUGCUGACUGUUGUGGUGUCUGGCAUGGGUUGUCUUCCUGGAUUGCAGACAUCUUUAUCUCGCUCAGCAUCCAUGCGACAGACUCUUCGUUGUGUACCAGUGGAGAAGGGAAACACAGGAAAACAAUCCAAUGAUGAUAUAACCCUGAUGACUUUCUGCUUUUUUGUUCUGCCAGUCAAUGGAAGAUGGAUAUUAAAAUAUUUCCAACUAUAAUUGGAAGUGUAUCCACUUAUCAUUGAGCACCUUCAAGUAUGUGCCAGGGGCUGGAGAAGGCCUGCUUGGUAAAGUCUUGCCAUGAAAGCAUGAAGACCUGAAUUUGGGUUCGCAGCACAGCGUGGAAAAAGCUGAGUAUAGCAGUACACACCUGGAAUCCCAGCAUUGGGGAGGUAGAGACAGUAGGAUCUCUGAGGCUUGCUAGUGAGUUCCUGGCUCAGGGAGGGACCCUGUCUUAAAAAUAAGGCAGAUAGUAAUUGAGGAAUGUAAUCAAUAUUGACCUCUGACUUACAGCCACACA